rnacentral:rRNA from 1 species
UUUGAUCAUGGCUCAGGAUGAACGCUGGCGGCGUGCUUAACACAUGCAAGUCGAACGAAGCAUUUGCGACAGAUUUCUUCGGAUUGAAGUUGCUUAUGACUGAGUGGCGGACGGGUGAGUAACGCGUGGGUAACCCGCCUCACACAGGGGGAUAGCAGUUGGAAACGGCUGAUAAUACCGCAUAAGCGCACAGUACCGCAUGGUACAGUGUGAAAAACUCCGGUGGUGUGAGAUGGACCCGCGUCUGAUUAGCUAGUUGGCGGGGUAACGGCCCACCAAGGCAACGAUCAGUAGCCGACCUGAGAGGGUGACCGGCCACAUUGGGACUGAGACACGGCCCAGACUCCUACGGGAGGCAGCAGUGGGGAAUAUUGCACAAUGGAGGAAACUCUGAUGCAGCGACGCCGCGUGAGUGAAGAAGUAAUUCGUUAUGUAAAGCUCUAUCAGCAGGGAAGAUAGUGACGGUACCUGACUAAGAAGCUCCGGCUAAAUACGUGCCAGCAGCCGCGGUAAUACGUAUGGAGCAAGCGUUAUCCGGAUUUACUGGGUGUAGAGGGAGUGUAGGUGGCAUCACAAGUCAGAAGUGAAAGCCCGGGGCUCAACCCCGGGACUGCUUUUGAAACUGUGGAGCUGGAGUGCAGGAGAGGCAAGUGGAAUUCCUAGUGUAGCGGUGAAAUGCGUAGAUAUUAGGAGGAACACCAGUGGCGAAGGCGGCUUGCUGGACUGUAACUGACACUGAGGCUCGAAAGCGUGGGGAGCAAACAGGAUUAGAUACCCUGGCAGUCCACGCCGUAAACGAUGAAUACUAGGUGUCGGGGCUCAUAAGAGCUUCGGUGCCGCAGCAAACGCAAUAAGUAUUCCACCUGGGGAGUACGUUCGCAAGAAUGCAACUCAAAUGAAUUGACGGA